GAUGAGGUUCAACAUGAAAACUGGUGUGGUUUCUCAAAAGAGACUAUCAGCAUCAGCUGUUGAUUUUCCCAGGGUGAAUGAAAGCUAUACUGGCAGGUAUUCUGUACUCUAGGCAUAGAGAUAGAGAGAUUAUGUACGCUUUUUCCUAGAAGAAAGAGAUUACAGUGAUGUUCUUGGCUUGGAUUCUUUUAAUUCCCUCCUUUGUUUGUGAUGUUAAUUAAAUUGUCCUUUAAUUACCAAGCGUUUUAUUUAAUUAUUAUCCUCUGAAUUUAGGAAACAAAGAUAUGUGUACGGAACCAUUCUGGAUAGUAUUGCCAAGGUAACUGGGAUUAUC
rnacentral:misc_RNA from 1 species